rnacentral:rRNA from 1 species
UACGGAGGGAGCUAGCGUUGUUCGGAAUUACUGGGCGUAAAGCGCACGUAGGCGGCUUUGUAAGUUAGAGGUGAAAGCCUGGGGCUCAACUCCAGAACUGCCUUUAAAAACUGCAUCGCUUGAAUCCAGGAGAGGUGAGUGGAAUUCCGAGUGUAGAGGUGAAAUUCGUAGAUAUUCGGAAGAACACCAGUGGCGAAGGCGGCUCACUGGACUGGGUAUUGACGCUGAGGUGCGAAAAGCGUGGGGAGCAAACAGG